CGACCGGCGCACGGGUGAGUAACGCGUAUGCGACCUGCCCGUUGCAGGGGGGAUAAUCGGGAGAAAUCCCGUCUAAUACCGCGUAACGCCGCGGGGCUGCAUGGCCCUGCGGCCAAAGGGAGCGAUUCCGGCAACGGAUGGGCAUGCGUGACACUAGCUAGUUGGCGGGGCAACGGCCCACCAAGGCGACGAUGUCUAGGGGUUCUGAGAGGAAGGUCCCCCACACUGGUACUGAGACACGGACCAGACUCCUACGGAAGGCAGCAG
rnacentral:rRNA from 1 species